UAAACCUUACAAGAAAGUAAAAAGGCUUUUCAUUUAAGGGGACGACAAGACCCUGUCGAACUUAACUUAAAGUUUAGCUGGGGCGGCAAUAAACAUUAUCUUUCUUCAACUUACUCAAAAUCCUUCCAUGAUAUAAUAAGUUACCGCAGGGCUAACAGCAUAAUUUACUUUCAGAGACCUUAUCAAAAAGUAAGAUUGUGACCUCGAUGUUGAAUUAAUAUUCUUCUUGGAGCAAAAUCUAAGAAAGAAAGUCUGUUCGACUUUUAAUAAAUUACAUGAUUUGAGUUCAGACCGGCGCAAGCCAGGUCGGUUUCUAUCUCCUUUAUCCAAGAUUUAGUACGAAAGGACCAAUCUUAAUACUUUCAG
rnacentral:rRNA from 1 species